rnacentral:rRNA from 1 species
AACGAACGCUGGCGGCAUGCCUAACACAUGCAAGUCGAACGAGACCUUCGGGUCUAGUGGCGCACGGGUGCGUAACGCGUGGGAACCUGCCCUUAGGUUCGGAAUAACUCCCCGAAAGGGGUGCUAAUACCGGAUAAUGUCUUCGGACCAAAGAUUUAUCGCCUUUGGAUGGGCCCGCGUUGGAUUAGCUAGUUGGUAGGGUAAAAGCCUACCAAGGCGACGAUCCAUAGCUGGUCUGAGAGGAUGAUCAGCCACACUGGGACUGAGACACGGCCCAGAACGCACGGGGAGGGAGGAGGGGGGAAAUUUGGAAAGUGGGCGAAAGCCUGAUCCAGAAAUGCCGGGUGGGUGAAGAAGGCCUUGGGGUUGAAAAGCUCUUUUACCCGGGAUGAUAAGGACGGAACGGGGAGAAAAAGCCCGGGCAAACUCGGG